UACGUAGGUCCCGAGCGUUGUCCGGAUUUAUUGGGCGUAAAGCGAGCGCAGGCGGUUUAUUAAGUCUGGUGUAAAAGGCAGUGGCUCAACCAUUGUAUGCAUUGGAAACUGGUAGACUUGAGUGCAGGAGAGGAGAGUGGAAUUCCAUGUGUAGCGGUGAAAUGCGUAGAUAUAUGGAGGAACACCGGUGGCGAAAGCGGCUCUCUGGCCUGUAACUGACACUGAGGCUUGAAAGCGUGGGGAGCAAACAGG
rnacentral:rRNA from 1 species